rnacentral:lncRNA from 1 species
CCAACAUAAUCAGUACUCAACUCAAACAAAAGUCAAACAGACAGUUACAAGUCAACAGUUAACUAUACAAACAGACAACAAACAAUGCAUCAAGCAAAGCACAAACUCAACUCAAAUGAGCUACGAACCACCUACAAAACAAUUCAUCAUUAGUAAAUAUCAACCAAAUGAGUCAACUCAAACCAAUGCACCAAUUCCUCAAGGCCAUAUGCUUUUUG